UACGGGGGGGGCAAGCGUUGUUCGGAAUUACUGGGCGUAAAGGGCUCGUAGGCGGCCAUGUAGGUCCGUUGUGAAAACUCGAGGCUCAACCUCGAGACGCCGAUGGAAACCAUGUGGCUAGAGUCCGGAAGAGGAGAGUGGAAUUCCUGGUGUAGCGGUGAAAUGCGCAGAUAUCAGGAAGAACACCCGUGGCUAAGGCGGCUCUCUAGUACGGUACUGACGCUGAGACGCGAAAGCGUGGGGAGCGAACAGG
rnacentral:rRNA from 1 species